ACCAUAUGAAAUGCUGUUUCUGUGUAUCCUCCUCAGUGCAAACCUCAACGGCUCUUGUUUUGUACUGCUAGAUGGGGCCCGGAUUGUUCUGGAACUUUCCCUCCAAGACUAGCUGCACGGUUUCGCAGACCCUGCUGCAGACAAUGUUGCUCUCCAGGAUGGCUGGCAUGAAGGAGCAGCAGUUUAUUGAGGAAAAGCCAUUACUUCCUGAGACAAGAGGACAAGACACGGAGAUGGAGAACUGCGAGACCUUCGUGCCUGUAGGAGACUGGAAGGUAAUGGAAAUGUUAUGUUGUAAUAUUCUGUUAUGAAUCAAAUUCAGACUAUCUGAAAAAUGGGUAUAAGUA
rnacentral:lncRNA from 1 species